UGUGGGAGCGGGCUUGCUCGCGAAGGCGUCUGCAUUGCCAGCAAUGUUGUCGACUGACACAAAGCCUUCGCGAGCAAGCCCGCUCCCACA
rnacentral:antisense_RNA from 2 species